UAACUAUUUAUACACAAAAAAGUGGAUAAAUUAUUGGAAAUGUGCUAUUUAUACUUUGAUAUCUAAUGGCAGAAGGAUAUGCUAUUGUAUGCUAUGCCACCAGAUGUCAUUUCGUGAUGUCACGUCAUUUCGUGAUGUCACUGCCAACUCAAAGUGGAACAGACUAUAGGGAAUUAAAUAAUAUGGCUUCAAGAUUAUUGCUAAUAAUAGAACAUCAUAUCAUAUUUCAUAAAAAUCUAUUAAUUAAUUCAAAAGUAUUAAUGGGGAUAUAUACUCAACUUGGUGAACUUAUAAUCAUUAGACUCCAUUCAAAAAUAAGGAAUACAGGC
rnacentral:lncRNA from 1 species